GCGACUGUGGUGAAAUAGGUAGACACAAGGGACUUAAAAUCCCUCGGCGCAAGCCGUGCCGGUUCGAUUCCGGCCAGUCGCACCA
rnacentral:tRNA from 1 species